AUGUAGCACAAUGGCUAGUGCGUUGGACUUCUAAUCCAAAAGCCGUGGGUUCGAAUCCCACUUGAAAUG